UACGAGAUAAAAUUAGUGGCGAACGAGCGAGUAACGCGUACUUAACCUGCCCUCGAGCUGAGAACAACUACGGAGACGUAGCUAAUUCUCAAUAUGCUCACGACGGUGCAAUUCCGAUGUGAGGAAAGAUUUAUCACUCGGGGAGGGGGGUGCGUCCUAUCAGGUAGUUGGUGGGGUAAUAGCCUACCAAGCCUAUGACGGGUAGCCGGUCUGAGAGGAUGUCCGGCCGCGAUGGAACUGAGAUACGGUCCAUACUCCUACGGGAGGCAGCAGUGGGGAAUUUUGCACAAUGGACGCAAGUCUGAUGCAGCGAUUCCGCGUGGAGGAUGAAGCAUUACGGUGUGUAAACUCCUUUUCUGGUGGAAGACGAAUGACGGUACACCAGGAAUAAGAGACGGCUAACUACGUG
rnacentral:rRNA from 1 species